rnacentral:rRNA from 1 species
CCUACGGGAGGCAGCAGUGGGGAAUCUUGCACAAUGGAGGAAACUCUGAUGCAGCGAUGCCGCGUGAGUGAAGAAGGCCUUUGGGUUGUAAAGCUCUUUUGUAGGGGAAGAUAAUGACUGUACCCUAAGAAUAAGGUCCGGCUAACUUCGUGCCAGCAGCCGCGGUAAUACGAAGGGACCUAGCGUAGUUCGGAAUUACUGGGCGUAAAGCGCGCGUAGGCCGUUGAGUUAGUUAAUUGUGAAAUCCCAAAGCUUAACUUUGGAACUGCAAUUAAAACUGCUCGACUAGAGUUUGAUAGAGGAAAGCGGAAUACAUAGUGUAGAGGUGAAAUUCGUAGAUAUUAUGUAGAACACCAGUUGCGAAGGCGGCUUUCUGGAUCAACACUGACGCUGAGGCGCGAAAGUAUGGGUAGCAAAGAGGAUUAGAUACCCUCGUAGUCCAUACCAUAAACGAUGAUUGCUAGAUGUUGGAAAUUUAUUUUCAGUAUCGCAGCUAACGCAUUAAGCAAUCCGCCUGGGGAGUACGACCGCAAGGUUAAAACCUUAAAGNGAAUUGAACGGUGUGAGAGUGCGAGACGACGACGAGGAGGAGG